UGGCCGAUGACUGGGGUGAAGUCGUAACAAGGUAGCCGUAUCGGAAGGUGCGGCUGGAUCACCUCCUUUUGAGCAUGACGUCAUCGUCCUGUCGGGCGUCCUCACAAAUUACCUGCAUUCAGAGAUGCGUAUCGGCACAGGCCGGUAUGCGAAAGUCCCAUCAUGGGGCCUUAGCUCAGCUGGGAGAGCACCUGCUUUGCAAGCAGGGGGUCGUCGGUUCGAUCCCGACAGGCUCCACCAUUUGAGUGAAACGACUUUGGGGUCUGUAGCUCAGGUGGUUAGAGCGCACCCCUGAUAAGGGUGAGGUCGGUGGGUUCGAGUCCUCCCAGACCCACCACUCUGAAUGUAGUGCACACUUAAGAAUUUAUAUGGAUCAGCGUUGAGGCUGAGACAUGUUCUUUUAUAACUUGUGACGUAGCGAGCGUUUGAGAUAUCUAUCUAAACGUGUCGUUGAGGCUAAGGCGGGGACUUCGAGUCCCUAAAUAAUUGAGUCGUAUGUUCGCGUUGGUGGCUUUGUACCCCACACAACACGGCAGAUAGCUCCGAGGCAACUUGGGGUUAUAUGGU
rnacentral:misc_RNA from 1 species